rnacentral:lncRNA from 1 species
AUCGAUGAAUUUAAUUUUAUUUCUAGCAGACAAUGACACAUUAAUACUCCUUCUCCAUCCUCCAAAAUCAGAUCUUGAGAAAGGUACAGGAACUAAGGCAAGACCAGGUAUAUCGGAAGAGUGAAGGAGAAAAGCACUUGAGGGCUUAAGGUUAAAUUUAGUCUGUUCACGACAACUAGAGGUACUGCUAAUAUCAUUUAAGUCGGAGCCAUGGCAAAAUAGGCGAUUAACACAAAAGCAGCAACACACCCAAACCCUAGCAAACAAAAUCAGAGAGAAAGGAAGAAAAUUACCGGAGUUAUCGCAUCCGAAAAACACGGCCUUUUAGAGUGAAGAAUAUGCAUCAAUUGACUUUAGCAAUUACAAGCUCCUUCAAACAGCGAAAAAAACCCCCCAAAACAACCAAAAACCAUAUUCGGAAAUCGAAAAACAAGUCAAAAUAGUAAUGGGUAACAUUGGAGAGGAGAGAACAACGAAAUCAAGCAAGAUCGCUGCUCUGAUACCAUGUAAACAUGAAAAAAAUCGAUCGAAACCAUACAAAGUUUAUCAACGUUUUAAGGUGGAAGAAGGUCGGUUGAGAGAGAGAGAAAGAAUAUCUGGAAUCUUCUUUCAUUAUUGAAGAAG